GAGGAAAGAGGGAGGCGUGCCUAAUACAUGCAAGUCGAGCGAACGGACGAGAAGCUUGCUUCUCUGAUGUUAGCGGCGGACGGGUGAGUAACACGUGGAUAACCUACCUAUAAGACUGGGAUAACUUCGGGAAACCGGAGCUAAUACCGGAUAAUAUUUUGAACCGCAUGGUUCAAAAGUGAAAGACGGUCUUGCUGUCACUUAUAGAUGGAUCCGCGCUGCAUUAGCUAGUUGGUAAGGUAACGGCUUACCAAGGCAACGAUGCAUAGCCGACCUGAGAGGGUGAUCGGCCACACUGGAACUGAGACACGGUCCAGACUCCUACGGGAGGCAGCAGUAGGGAAUCUUCCGCAAUGGGCGAAAGCCUGACGGAGCAACGCCGCGUGAGUGAUGAAGGUCUUCGGAUCGUAAAACUCUGUUAUUAGGGAAGAACAUAUGUGUAAGUAACUGUGCACAUCUUGACGGUACCUAAUCAGAAAGCCACGGCUAACUACGUG
rnacentral:rRNA from 1 species